UCUAACCACACCCAAACAGUCCUGCAAGAGGUCCAAUCAGCUAGAUUAACUGAAAACACCUGUGUUGGUGUUCAGGGCUUGCUCACUCUUUUGCGGUAUUAAUUUAGCUAUCUUUACUGUAGCUGUAAACACCUUUAUUGCAAAUAGGCUAUAGCAGUUCAUAAGCAAGCUAGCAUACCAACAGCUUUAUUAUGUCACUUUAGGACGUCGUUGUGGACUACUAAAAACGUUUUUGGGUUCCCAAAUGCUGAAGGACACCAUCAUUUGAAAUAAUUUACUUGUUGGCCGGCCGUUGGUCACCUCUCCUUAGGGCUCUCAUAUUCCUCCUCUCAACGCCAAUUUCAACCGGAAGUUCUCGUUAACUGCCAUUUUAUUGCCAAUUCUUCCCACUUUGACAUGCCAAUAUCACUUCACUAAGGUGGCUGCUGGGUUGUUGUUUUUUGAGGUGCUUUUUAUUCAGUCCUUCACAGCAGAGAGGGGAGAGUGACAGAUGACAAAAGCUCCAGGCCAGGACAAAACCAAGGACACGGUUGUACGUAGGUGGAAUGAGAACCUGUCUGACAGGAGAUUUGUCAUGGAUGUUGACCAUGUACUGAUGCUCCAUCACUCCCAGGUCUCUGUGUGGGUGUUUGUGCCCUACCAGACCUGCACACAGACCCAGAUGAGCCUGCUCUUUGGAAAAUAAUAACCACUCUCACAGGAACAGGUUGAAGGUUAGGACCGAAAUCCAAUAAUAAACUUGGCUAAGUCCUUGUUCCUGUAUGCUGGUUCUGCAUUGACAUUCCUCAUACAUCAAUAAAUCCGCUUUCUGAUAGAACUGACUUAGUGGUUUUGACACUGAAGAGUUUUGUACAGCAAAUGUCAAAAUCGGUUGGUUUCAUUGACUGACCUUCACAGUUCCCCACAGUUCAAGUUGACACCAAUAGCAAUGAUCUUUCUUUAACAAAAGAUUAUAUCAUGCUGAGUCAGUCAGCAGAGUCAAAUGGCAAAACUGUUGGAGACUUUCUAUGAAGUGUUAUUUUCAACUAAUUUUAUGCAAGUAAAAGCAAGCUUCCAUUUACAGACGGGACUGAUUCCUGACAUCUUGCAGAUUUCAUUGCUCUGGCUAAUGAAAUUUGUGACACCAGUAUGUGUACUUUGAACACGCACACUAGUGAUGAUGAAGGUUUAAUCUGCUGCUAUUUUCAACUAAAGCUAUAAUGCGUAGUUUCUGUCGCCCUCAUGAGG